UACGUAGGGGGCAAGCGUUGUCCGGAUUUAUUGGGCGUAAAGCGCGUGUAGGCGGCCACGCAGGUCCGCUGUGAAAACUCGAGGCUCAACCUCGAGCUGUCGGUGGAAACCGCGUGGCUAGAGUCCGGAAGAGGGGACUGGAAUUCCCGGUGUAGCGGUGGAAUGCGCAGAUAUUGGGAAGAACACCGGUGGCGAAGGCGGCGCUCUGGACCGAGACUGACGCUGAGGCGCGAAAGCGUGGGGAGCAAACAGG
rnacentral:rRNA from 1 species